UGCCCGAUCGUCUAAAGGUAAGACUACGGACUCUGACUCCGUCAAUCGUGGUUCGAAUCCACGUCGGGCAUCCA
rnacentral:tRNA from 1 species